UACAGAGGGUGCAAGCGUUGUUCGGAAUUAUUGGGCGUAAAGCGCGUGUAGGCGGCUUUGCAAGUCGGGUGUGAAAGCCCUCAGCUCAACUGAGGAAGUGCGCCCCGAAACUGCAGAGCUUGAGUACCGGAGAGGGUGGCGGAAUUCCCCAAGUAGAGGUGAAAUUCGUAGAUAUGGGGAGGAACACCGGUGGCGAAGGCGGCCACCUGGACGGUCACUGACGCUGAGGAGCGAAAGCGUGGGGAGCGAACAGG
rnacentral:rRNA from 1 species